rnacentral:lncRNA from 1 species
GACAGGGUCGGGGACAGAAGGAAGAGCAGGUUUCUCACGGCAUGUCAGCCCAGGGCUCCCACAUGUGGCCUCCCACCCUCAUCUUCACACAUUCUCACACCUUCCGGAGUACAGAGGCGAGUGGGGUGCAGAUGGUCCUCCCUACAUCGGAUGGCCCAGGCCCUUCUCUCCUCCGGCUGUGGCCUGGCCAGGCCCAGAGCCCUCUUCUGAUCUCAUAGGCAGGGCCAAACCCGUAUCUUCUGGAGGAGCGACAGAGGUUCUCCCUCCCAGCCCUUCUGUGCGCCCAUACUGUCCAUGUGCCUGCCGCCCGCAUUCAGCUCCCCACCCCAGCAACAGAGUCUCAGACAAAAGAGAA